rnacentral:rRNA from 1 species
AUCCAGACUCCUACGGGAGGCAGCAGUGAGGAAUAUUGGUCAAUGGGCUUACGCCUGAACCAGCCAAGUCGCGUGAGGGAAGACUGCCCUAUGGGUUGUAAACCUCUUUUGUCAGGGAGCAAUUGGCGCUACGUGUAGCGUUAUCGAGAGUACCUGAAGAAAAAGCAUCGGCUAACUCCGUGCCAGCAGCCGCGGUAAUACGGAGGAUGCGAGCGUUAUCCGGAUUUAUUGGGUUUAAAGGGUGCGUAGGCGGAAUGCCAAGUCAGCGGUAAAAUCGCGGGGCUCAACCUCGCUCCGCCGUUGAAACUGGCGUUCUUGAGUGGGCGAGAAGUAUGCGGAAUGCGUGGUGUAGCGGUGAAAUGCUUAGAUAUCGCGCAGAACCCCGAUUGCGAAGGCAGCGUACCGGCUCCACACUGACGCUGAGGCACGAAAGCGUGGGUAUCGAACAGGAUUAGAUACCCCAGUA